AAACUUCCAAAUCAAACACGAAGGAAACCCUCCAUACUUCGGAAAGUCAGCAAACUUUCAAAGCAAGCACAGGGGAAACCACAAAAAUUCACGAGCCGAAUCCUACCCUCCACACCUCCAAAGCAAACUCUGAGGAAACCCAGCAAACUUUCGAAGCAAACACUAAGGAAACCCAGCAAACCUCUGAAGAGAACUCUGGGGAAACCUCAAAAAAUCAAGUGUCAAAUCCCGAUGAAUCCCAACAAAGUUGAUGAAUGUGUUGCCAUUGUAUUUGCAGUUUAUGUAGGUGCCAUUAUGCUGAUGAUCACAUUGAAGGGAUGAUGUUUGUUCAUUCAUUUGAUUGUUUCUUUGUAAUUUGUCUUGUACGGUUAAAUUUCAGUGCAUCAUACUGAUAAAGACAUCGUCUGGGUAAAUUUUAUGGGUGGUCUAAUAUAAUGAGAAAUGACUAUCCUGCUCUUUUCAAUUUCCCUUAUUUUCAUGGCUUGGCAGAAAUUUUUCUUGCUUUACUAUUCCACCUGCCAACGCCCUUCCUUUUCCCCUGUAACAUAGGUGGCAAACGGGGUCGAGCCUUGUUUGCCUUGACAGCACAGCAGAAUGGUGGUGUGAACGAAAACAUCGGAUUGCAAUGAUAUGGAAAUGUUUGGUAUACAAAGUUGUUAUUAAACUAGAAAUUAAAGAAACAAUCAUAGUGAAACCAACCGCUUUUAAAUUUACGAUCAACAGUUGGUGUCAUUGGCGAUUGUUGUAAUCUAAGCAUUGUCAGGGUUAACAAUCUAUGCAUAGUCAAUGAUCACUGAUAAUGUUUUUAUCGAUAAUCUGAUAGAGAGUGCAUAAUGAUAGUAGAUUGUAUUGUUGUCAAUAAUUCUAUUUGAAUCAUUGACAACUAUUUCUAUUAAAAUCAUUGACAAUAAAAUCAUCUACGGACAUCUAUAGAAUUUUUUAUCGGUGGUCUUUGCUUCUUUUAAUCAUUUUCAUAAUUAUUAUGGAAAAAACUUCUAAGCACUAGAGCCACCUUUACUCCCAUACAAGAUUAUAACAAUGCUAAAUGACCUUUGAUCAAAUUCCACGUAGGAUAAGUAUAGAAUGGAUUAAUCACAUUCAUUUAUGCAAAUAAAAUUGGCUUGGGGAAGAUGGGCUCUUGGUCUGAAUUACCAAAAGAAAGGGGACUUGACAAAAAGGAGUGUGUUAUUCUCGUCCAAAUGACAAUCUUAUCACAUAGACUAAGUUAAUAAAUAGAAUGUGUUAUAAGCUCUUCGACUAACACUUUUUUUUCCAUAUCAAUAUUCACCCAAUCUCUAUCCAAUUACAUCUCUUAUGUAAAUCUAAUUGUACAAUGAUUUAAGUAAUAAAGCGUCUUAAAAUAAAAACCUUUAUGUCAUCUUUGUUAUUAUACUGAGACAUUCUCAAAAUUAUCUUUCAGGAUAAUGUAUGACUAACCAUUUUUAUCAGCAUAUUAUCUAUCAAAAAAAUUCUAGUGAUGCAAAUGACACAGUAAUUUUAAUACUUAUGUUUCUGUUGAAUUAGAUGCACAUUGCUUUCGAAAGAUUGCUUGUUUCGAUUCUCGGACAAGCAUGGAGGACGAUAUUCAUUGUUAGUCGAGUACUCAUUGAUGCUAAAAAUGUUGACUGUUUGCUAUUUUUUUAAUAUUUAACGUAAAAAUCAAAGAUUCAAAAAUACUUUAUCACGAAUGGGGUGUGUGUGUGUGUGUGUAUGCAUAGGUGUAUAUAUGUAUAAGAUACAUGAAAAGUAACCAUAGUUGAGUUCAAAUGGUGAAUCAACCAUAGUUAGAACCCUAGUUAGGGUUAACCCCAAAAGUAGUUGUAAAUAAAAGCAAGCCCAUGCCCAUCUGUCUUUUACAAUUAUAGAAAAAUUUUGGGCAUUUUCAGAUUUUCUUCGGGGGGUUUUGACCAAAUUUUUCUAGCUCUCCACAGAAAUUCUCCCCAUUUCAAUUUGGUGGGAAAAAAGAAAAACCACAAAUUCAACUCCAGGCCUUCAGAUUUUUAUUUUAAUCGGUAAUGAUUUCUUUUAUUCUUUACAUUUUUUCUGAAUUUUUAGGUUAAUUAGGAAUUUGGUACUGAAUCUAGGGUUUCAAUCUGGAGUGCUGAAUAUGAAGGUUCGGAAAUGGAAGUUAAUUUUUUUUUUUUUUUUUUUUUUUUUUUAUGGGCUUCGGAUCUAUUGCAAUCUCAAAUUUUGAAUUUUGAGUGUGAUUUGGGAUUUGUGAAUUUUAAAUAUUUUUUGGUAAUUUUUGCUAGCUGUUGUUUUUUGGGAUUUACUUUACCAUUAGAGCUGUUAUAUUGAGUUCAUGACAUCGUGCGUAGAGAUUAUCAGAAUUUAAAUCAGACAAUGUGUUUCUCCAACUCAAUUACCGUUGAGUCGAUUUGCUGCGUUCUCUGCAAUUUGCUUAAGUGCCAUUGGACUGAAUUGUCUUUAUAUUUCCUUCUCGUUGAUAUCGAAUUGAGAAGGAACUUGCAAUUCGAACUUGGAUUAGAGUUUUAUGCUUGUCUGAAAGAACAUGUGCGUGAUGACCCCAAUAGCCAAUCUUUUCUCAUUUUUUAUGUACUGCUCCAACCUCCGUGGUAGACAUAUAUAACUUAAUCCAGUUCUUGUAAAUGAUGGUGCAUUAACAUACACCUGUGCAUUUUACUUGUAACCUUCACUUUAUCAAAAUUUGGCUUAACUUUUGUCAAAUUGUCAUACUCACUUCAGUUUAUCUUUUCCUUUGAAUCGGGUAUUUGAUAUUUUGAUGGAUCUUUAUUGUUGAGAGGUCCUUAGGGUUUAAGUUCAGGUAUUUGUUCUUAUGUUCUUGCUGGUUUUUGGGUGUGUGUACAGUUAACAUGCCAUAUUAAGACUGUACCAAAAACGGGUGAACAGUUGGGAACCAAGUCAUUUUAAAAAUAUGGAGUGCAAUAGAGAUGAGGCCCUCCGUGCAAAGACAAUUGCUGUGGGCAAGUUAGAGAAGAAGGAUUUUGCUGGCUCUAAAAAAAUUGCCUUGAAAGCCCAAACAUUGUAUCCAGGACUUGAGGGUAUCUCACAAAUGUUGACAACACUUGAUGUGUAUAUUGCUGCAGAGAAUAAAAUAAGUGGGGAAGUAGACUGGUAUGGAGUGCUCGGUGUCAACCCUUCAGCUGAUGAUGAAACAAUAAGGAAACAAUACAGGAAGUUGGCUCUCACUCUUCACCCAGAUAAAAAUAAAUCUGUUGGUGCUGAUGGUGCUUUUAAACUUCUUUCAGAGGCCUGGAGCUUGUUAUCUGAUAAGGCUAAGAGGUUGGCAUAUAACCAAAGGAGGGGUUCUAGAGGAUACCACCAGAAAGUUCAAAUGCACGCUGGUGGACCAUCAGCAGCAUCCAGGGCAAACGGAUUUCAUAAUAUUGGAAGUAGGUCAACAUCUAUUACAAAGACCCAAAACAAUAGUUCAAGGGUAUCACCUACAUCAGUUCCUACUCCGUCGUAUCAAAGAACUGAUACUUUCUGGACUAUUUGUCACAGAUGCAAGAUGCAUUACGAGUAUCUUAAGAUAUAUCUCAAUCACACUCUUCUGUGUCCCAAUUGUCACGAGGCCUUCAUGGCUUCAGAGACAGCUCCACCAUUCAACUUUUCUAAAUCAUCAAAUCCUGCUUCUCGCCAGCGGAAUCAGAAUUUGAAUAAUCAUGCAACUGCUAGAAAUCAUGUUGACACGGGAAGCAAUGCUGCAGCUGGUCAAAAAUCAGGACCUGGACAAGCAGGUCCUAAUGUGUAUGGGCAUAGAAGCUACCAGCAGGCUCCUCAUUUUGGCCAUACAGAUCCUUCUAUAUCGACAAAAGCAGCAAAUUCUGUUCAGCAGGCACAGGCAUUUCCUGAACCACCUGCUAGGUGGGAAGGAGAAACAAAAAAGCGAAAAAUAGAUGACUAUUUUGGUGCAAAAACUACAUAUAACGUGGCCAUGGCAAAUGGAGGUUUUGCUAGUGCAGGUGCAUCAGGAUCAAGGAUCUAUGGUUUCUCUGGCACUAAUAGUAAACCCAACAGCACCAGAGACCUGACCCCACUAGAAAUGCGAAAUGUGCUAAUGGAGAAGUCUCGAAAAGAGAUUCUGAAGAAGUUGAACGAAUGGAGAUUGGUGACGGCAACAAAGGCUACAGAUAAAGUGAAAGAGAAGGCAAAAGAGGGCAAGAGAAACAAACACCGAAGCACCAGUGGGCAUGAUCAGAAUGGCAAUGGUGGGCUGUCUAUUCGCAUGGUAGCAGAUCGAGCUAACAAGUGUCUUGUUAGCCAUUCUGCUGACACUGCAGGUAAAGAGGAUAAUGUGGCAGCACCCAUGAAUGUUCCAGAUCCCGAUUUUCAUGAUUUUGAUCAGGACAGAGCUGAAAGUUCAUUUGGAGAUAAUGAGGUUUGGGCUGGUUAUGAUGAUGAUGAUGGUAUGCCGCGUUUCUAUGCUCUGAUUAGUAAGGUAAUCUCAAGGAACCCAUUUAAGGUCAAGAUCAGCUGGCUUAACUCAAAAACCAGUAGCGAAUUUGGAUCUCUGGAUUGGGUAGGUUCAGGUUUCUACAAAACGUGUGGUGAAUUUAGAGUUGGCAGAUAUGAAAUCUGCAAAUCUAUCAAUUCUUUCUCCCAAAAGGUUAAUUGGUCAAAAGGCCCACGGGGGACUAUUCUAAUAUUGCCUACAAAGGGUGAUGUUUGGGCACUCUACAGGAAUUGGUCGCCUGAUUGGAAUGAGCAGACCCCGGAUGAAGCCAUACACAAAUAUGACAUGGUGAUGGUACUUGAUGACUACAGUGAGGAACAGGGUGUAUCUGUCGCUCCUCUUGUUAAGGUAGUUGGUUUCAAGACAGUAUUUCGUCCAAAUUUGGACCCCCAAAAGGUCAAGAGAAUACCAAAAGAAGAGAUGUUCCGAUUUUCUCAUAGGGUCCCGAACCACGUGCUUAGGGGUGAUGAAGCUGAAAAUGCUCCAAAAGGUUGCAUAGAGCUGGACCCUGCAGCUACCCCAUUGGAACUUCUUCUGGUGAUUAUGGAAACUAAUGAGGUGCCAACGAUGUCCCAUGGUGAGAGUUCUAAGGAAGAGAAAUUGCAGAGCUCUCCAGAUACUAGGUUAGACGACAUUGCUAAUGUGACCACAGAGGCUCAGGAAGUAGACAGAAAACAGUCUGGAGACCGAGAAACUGGGGGAAAUGGGCUUUGAAGGGUAGCCAGGGAAGCAGCGCUUUUUUGUACGAUGCUGGUAUUUUUUUAACAAAUGUUCAGAGUGCUGGAUAGACACCCAGUAUAUAGACCUUUUCAAUUGCACAAGCCCCGAGUAUAAUUGAAGGAGAAUAGCGUUUUGUUGUGGAAUCGGAAUUGGGUGCAUACUUUUGUUCUUCGUUUUGAACUCGAUAAAUGUGGAGACUCUGAACACUUAAAAGGUAGAUCAAGUCUAACCCCAGUUUUGACAGUUAAAUUGAGUAAAAUUAUGAAGAUGAAGAACUUCAUUCUUCUUUACUGUCUAGGUAAAAGUGAAUGCUUUCUGCCUAUUGAACAUCAUGUAUAAGACAGGAAGUGUAUUCUUUGUCGUGUUACUUGAUUCUAAUGUUAAAAACAUGGAAUUCAUUUUUGUCUUGAAAGACUAAAAACAUUUGUAAGUCGAAAAGGUUCAUUUAUAUUUUGCUGCGUCUUGGAAUUGACAUGCGCAAGUAUUUAUUUUUCUUUUGUUGUGAUAUACAUAUUUCUACCCUCGGAGAUGCAAGUGGUGAUCCGAUGCACGGUUUUUUGUUUUGUUUCUUUGUUAAAAUUAGCAUAAUUUUUCUUAGAUGCAAUGCGCCUCUUACAUCAAAGCUAGAUGGUGAGCUUAUACAAUGUGCACGGUGAGCCUUCUGGAAUUAUGAAAAGAGUCAACGAGACUAGGUAUCUUAUUCAGUAUCCACUUGGAUGGGACCACGUUGAACCAUCUCAACUGAAAGUUUAAACUAUUAGAAUGAGACUUCAUUUUUCUAAAUUUAUAGUUUGACACAUCACAAGAUCUGUGAUGAGCAGCAAAUUUUUAUAUACAACAAACUUAUUGCUCGACCAUACGGCAAAAAUCACAUAUGAUCAAGCUGGUGCAUCUACAGGUGAAGACAAUAUUUUAACGGUGGUGCUAGUGGUACAUAGGGGUGGACCUCCCGAAUAAAAUUUUUUUUAUUCGGGUGAAUUUCACACCCCAUGUGAGAGAGGUGUACACGCUUUGGUACACUUCAUUAUGUACCACUAGAUUAAUUCAUAUUUUAAACACAUAAACAGGAUCUCCCACUUUAAUGCUCUUCCUCUUCCCUUGAGUUAGGAAUCAGUUCAGUACAAACCAUGUUUUUUCCCAAAAUAUACCUGCAAAAUUAAGUGCUUAAGUUUACACAAUUAAGUAGAUUUAUAUAAAAGUCGUCAAAAAUGCCAGCUUUCUAGAGCUAAACUGAUCUUCCCCUGCUGUUUCUUGUUUGGACGCAGAAGUGCGGAACUCUAUCAGAACGGAAGUUCAUAAGAGUCUCGGUAGGCUCAGAGCCUGCCACCGCGGUUUCUUGAUUUAUUAUGGGUACCUAAGAAUUAUGAAAAAUUUCAAGAACACGAAGAACGUUCCGGCAUUUCAAAGAAAAAGAUCAAGUUUUUGAAUGCAGGAACUUAGAAACUCAAUUUUCCAGUGCAGGAAUUCAUGGUUUAUAGAUUCCUUAGUAACAGAAAAUCAGAAUUUUGGCAAAAUAAUUUUAAUCAGUCUGAAGCAUUUGUAUAAAUACAGUUACUCUAAAUGAAAUUUUAAUAUGCAACGAACAUAUUCUCGAAGAAUGAUGACAUGUUGAUGAUUUCGAUAUUUGACUAGUUCACCGCCUACUAUAUAAUGAACAACUAAAUUGACGGCUACUCAAUACAUCUAGAGCAUGCUUAGUAUCUAGUAUUCGACAAGAUUGAAAAGUAAAAAAAAAACAUACACGAGUAAAUGAAUACCAGAAUAUCAUGGAAUUGUGAAUCCUCCAAAAGAAAAACAGCAUUGGCGCGCAACCUCUGAAAAUGUUGCGAGGAUAUAAAUGUUUGGAAAAUUAUUGGUGUACAUUAUGGACAUUAUAAUGGUGUCUAAAUGUUUACCUUAAAACGAGAGCAUAGUUAGUUAAAUUAUUGAUCUUGAUCUCUGUUCAUAAAUCCUCGGAAAAGGGUUCGCAUCUAUUAACCUAACAUUCGGGUCUUACCAGUAAUCAUGUCAACAUAUAAUGGAAGAAAUUCUGAAGUCUGCUUUGCAAUAAUAUUAUGAGACGAUUUUCAGGGAGUUUAAUUUCUUCUCUUUUCUAUUUCUUCGUUUCAUAAGAGUUCUUAUUUGGUUCCCAAUCGUCGAAAAAUGCCUCAUAUGGCAGUUCAACUCGAUUUACAGAUUUUUUGUGCAUAUACGAGUGAAACGGGUCGAAGUCGAUCACGUUUUAGUCGUCGGAUCCGUGCAUGCACAAAAAUACAAGGGUCACUUUGAAUCUAAUAGUUUCUAAAUUUUUUGAAAGCGAUGAACAACGAAAUUUGUUUGGACAACCCUUGUCUCGACUUAAAUUUACCUCUAUAAGUAGAGAAUCUCAAAUUUUUAGUAAUAAAAGAUCCAACUAGUAGUACUAAUAAUAACAUUCAUUUUGAUGUACGAACAAUUGGAUUGGUCAAAAUUAAUAACCACUCGAAUUAAAAUUGACCACUUUUCAGGACAAAUGAACUUCAAAUUGGGUAAAAUGGACCUUAUUUAAUUGACUCCAAUUUUAAAGAUGAAUACUGCUAUUUAGGUCAAAUGAAUUUCAAGAUAGAUCAAAUAGAACUUGAUGGAGUUUAAUUGACUCUGAUAUAAAAGAUGAAUAUAUUAAAUUAAAAAUAUAUAAAAAGAGAAAUCGAUAAUAUGUAUGUUAUGCUAUUAUAAUAAUGUUAAGUUAGGCUCCUUUUUAUUUUCUUUCUCGCCUCUGUUGGAAAAUUUUCCAAGAGUAUGCACCUCGAUCAGCUAGAAUUAAGAGAGAAGAAAAUCAUAUAUAACUUCUCGAGUGCAAUGGCAAUUUUAUUCAUGAACAAUAAUGAAGAACAUCGCCUUCAAGUACUGGGUGAGCAUCGCUCGACAUAAUUAUUGCUUUUUUUUAUUAUUAAAAAAUCGAUAACCUUCCUCACUUAUGAAAAGUAAUUAAAAAGUGUUUUUUUUUUUUAAAUUAUAAGUUUUUUGAAUCCUAACAUUAAGUAACAAAAUCAUGUUAACUUUUCCAGCACAGUUCCUUUAUAGUACAAGAGUGAUUAAUAAAAUUUCAAUUUUACCACUUCUCACUUGAGCUAGACUUGAUUUCAUUUACCAAUAAUUUUGACCAUGCCAAGUAACAACUUUAUCAUAAAAUAAAAGUGGGAAAAUUUUUCCACCAGCUAUAUAUAUCGCAUAAAGGCAUUUCGUUCUAUAGCUUGUAUUUGUGUCAUUUAUUUCGGAUUGGCGUGAAGAGAGAUUCUUUGCAUGGCAUUAACAUGGCUUGGUUCAUUUAUCAAGAGUCAUGUCAUCCAAAACAUAUCAAAAUAUUGACUAGCAAAUGUGUUAUCCAACGUUCACUACCAAACAUGACAGUUUACAAUCAAAUACUAUACCUAAUAAUCCAAAAGUUUAUUGGAAAAGCCUCAGUAAAAGCGUCUGAUACUAUCCAAUCUUCUCUACCAAAUACGACAGUAACGUAGUUGAAGACCAUAAUUAUGCUCUAUUUGCCACUCUUUUUAGCACGCUUUCCUUGGCCCUUCUUUGGUGGCCCCCUGCCACGACGUUUCAACAUUUCCAGCUUGUUUAAGCGCCUGUCCACAAUCUACUAAAUGAGGUUCGAAGAAUAAUUCAGACAUGAAAACUCAACUUCAACCUAGUCAAAAGAGAGAGGAAAAUUAAACAGAAUCAAAACUUCAGUUUCACAGUCACUCUACACCCACCAAUCCCCUCUUCUCCGAACCACCACCAUGGGAAAGGGGGGAGGGGGGGAGGGGGUAUGAAUACAGUCAAUUCUCUUGUAAUUAAUAUGGUAGAUUGAAAAGUUAUACUUAUCAAUUAUGAAAUUUUUAAUAGCCCUGAUCAUCAAAAUCUUAAUUUUCAUAUAAUCUUGUCACACAAAUUAAUAAUACUAUUUCCUUCUUGGUGUAUUUUGGUCCUUGUAUACGAUCAUACAUGUGAUCUAAUUUGUGUUUAUCGUUGAGACACUUGUCUAGUCUUUGGUUUGCAUAUCUCUUCUGGUUCGCAUAAAAUCUUUUGUCCACUUUCUGUAGGCACAUUGAAGUAAUUUCUUAUGACAUAAAAAUGAAGACCAUGCAUCUGGCCAUGGUUUGUAUAUUUAUUUAGACUAAUAAUAUGAAUCUCCUAAAUAAUUUCUGGCACUUUCUCUGCUUACGAUAGUUGAAGACAAGGAGACCAUUUCCCUAUUAUUGAUGCUAUAUGCAUGUUUUUGGAAAAUUUUCAUUGUAUGGAUUCCAAAAUUUUAAUUUGGACCUGGUUUAUUAAUUUAAUUAUUUGCUGUUAUUAUUUUUUGGGGGUAUUAAUUACAAGAGCAUAGACUGUAUUAGUAUUUGUAUUAUUUUUUAUUUUUAGGAUGGCGGGAGCUCCUAUUUUUAUGUGAGGCUAUGAGAAGUCUGUUAUGUUGGUUGCACGUUCUCCUAGUAGAUAUUUAUCAAAUUAUUUUACAGGAUCAAGAGAUUGAUCAAGAGCUCGAACUGCUUGUGCUUGCAAGUGAUGGACUUUGGGAUGUUGUGCCCAAUGAGGUAAUCAGUAUCAUAAAUGACCAUUAUUAUUCCUUUCAUCAUAUAUCAGUCCUUUUUUUCUUGGUGCUGUUGGAACUGAACAAUAUAGUCAAUGAGAUUAAUAAUUUAAAUUGUAUAGUUACUUUAUUCAUUUCUGAAAAGGACAAAAACAUAUAUUCUGGUAUUAAUAGUCAUUGGUAUAGUAGCUGAUGCAAGUUUCCACAUAUUUAUCAGGAUGCUAUCUCACUUGCACAAAUAGAAGAUGAACCCAAAGCAGCAGCACGGAAGUUGACAGAAACGGCUUUCACCCGUGGCAGUGCAGACAAUAUUACUUGUAUUGUUGUAAGGUUUCAUCAUGAGACAACAGUACCUGAGGAAACCCAUCAAUCUUUUGAAGCAAACUAUGAGGAAACCCAGCAAACUUCCAAAUCAAACACGAAGGAAACCCUCCAUACUUCGGAAAGUCAGCAAACUUUCAAAGCAAGCACAGGGGAAACCACAAAAAUUCACGAGCCGAAUCCUACCCUCCACACCUCCAAAGCAAACUCUGAGGAAACCCAGCAAACUUUCGAAGCAAACACUAAGGAAACCCAGCAAACCUCUGAAGAGAACUCUGGGGAAACCUCAAAAAAUCAAGUGUCAAAU
rnacentral:lncRNA from 1 species